UCCCUUUUUAAUACUCUGUAACUGCAUCAUUAGGCGCAACUGCCUCAACUCCAUGCCUGAGGCGUACAUCCUCCUCAGUGUCUUCCAUAUGGCCGCAGACGUCUUACGGAAAAAUGGAUGUGGAGAUCCUCGUCAAGAUCCAGCUUAGAAUGAGAUGAUCUUGUUGACGGGAAGAUGUUGUAGUGAGCUUAAUUGGGCUUCUCACGACGGGAAGACGCCGUAGUGAGAUCCCUCGACAUACCCAUGAGCUCAAAUCCUCG
rnacentral:lncRNA from 1 species